UUUCUUUCUCUCUCUCUCUCUCUCUCUCUCUCUUUCUUUCUUUCUUUCUUUCUGCAGCCAUACUACAGGUCUGAAAAUAGAGAGAGAGAAAAUAUUUUUGUUUUCCUCCCUUCAAAUUUGUUCCUGUAUGUUUACUUGUGUGUGUGUCCAGAGAGAGGAGGAUAGGACAAGAGGACAAGAAAGGAGAGAUUGACUUUCCUUUACAUCAGUAGUUUCUCUCUAGGACCUAAUGUAAACACGUUCUAAAUAAUGGCCUUGUUUUUCUAUUUCUGGUAUAGAAGUUACUGCAAAAUCUGUAAAAAGCCUAAUUUGUAAAUUUGGAACAAUUAGUAUAUUAGAAAUACAUUUGUAUACACCAAUAAAUAUAGAGUGACACAUUAGUUUGAAGGAAAACAAUUGAUUUGAAAGUGUAAGUGACACUGUGAUCCUUAAAAUGUCAUACUAGGAUAUGAAGUGAAACUCUCUCAAGGUUUGUUUAAAUUUCAUUUAUAAAGAAGCUCAAUUAAACUGCGCCCCAGGCAAACUCCAGUUUUUGUUGAAAGUUACAAGAAACCUCAAAUUGGAGGGUAAUUAAUUUUACAGUGACAAGAAGAAGCACUAGAAAUAAAACAAUAUGUAUCAUUUAACUUUUCUUCUGUUGCUUUUUAGAUAUAUUAAUUUAAUCAUUUUAAUUUGUAUAAAUUCUCACAAAUGAAAUACCACUAUAUAUGGUGCAUUUAACCUAUUUACGUAUUCUAUUUAGUUUAGUAAACUUACUCUAUUUGUUUUAUUCUAUUUGGUUUACUAAAAAAAUUGUCUACUUAGAAAAUACAGUAAUACUGUAUUCAGUAAUAUUCAUUUUAUAAUAUUUUAUAAUACUGUAAUAUUCAAUUUUAAACUGCAUAUUUAUUCAUAGUUCAGUAAUUUUUAAAUUAUAUUUCCUGAACAUUUUGUUUUUUGACUUCUCUCUAGUAUAAAUAGCUGAGUAAUUUUUUAAAACAUAUCUCUUUAUUCUGUGAGAUUUUUAUCUCCCUUUCUACUGUAAAGGGUGAAAGCUAGGGUAAUCAAGUCAAAGAAAAGACUAGAGGAGGCUUUGUUUGUGAUACAUGUAAUGUGGGGAAACAUUGUAGUUUGGCCAGAUAGGAUUCCGUUCUUCCUUUUGAAAUAGCCUUCUGGCUUUGAGGAACUGCUUCCCACCUCAAGCUAGGUAUAUUAUCUGAGUGGUAGUGGCCAUGUUUAUACAAUUUCAUUUCUGUACCCCCAGGGGUUGGCUAAGCAUUAGAUUCUGACUCUAGGUGGGUCACUUAUAGCACUUGACCAUUUUUUGGCCCAUAAAUAUUAAUUCAGGAGACAGUCAUUUGAACCAUUGUAUUCAGUUGUUAUGUGGGAUUUUACAUUUUUAACCUGAUGCUUGGCAGUAAGAGUCCCUUUCGUUUUUAGAGAUAAAAUUAAAGGUGUUAGUCAAAAGCUUCUUUGGCUCCAAAUUUGAAGAGAAAUCUCUUUUUUGAGAUUUCUUGUUAAGAGAACAAGUAAAAUGGUGAAUAGGUGGGAAAAUAGGGGAAGAAGUGCCUGGUCUCUAAUUCAGUCAACCCUGCCUCUACGAUUGGCCUUCCUAAUUAUAUAAACUCUUUCUGUUUAAGGUAGUUUACGUUGAAUUUCUGACAGUGGAUAUCAAAACAGUUCUUAAUAAGACAGUUACCCAAACAAAAAUAUUCUGUGUUCACUCAUACCUAAUCAGAAACCAGCAGGAUAAUUGGAGGGGAGGUAGAUACUUAGAAGUUAUCCACAGUCCACCUUUCCUUCUUGCUACCUAUCUCACAAACAAGCAGCACCUAAAAUUUGAGAAUAGUGGAGAGGAUACUUCUCAAAUCAAGAAAGAUAUUUUAUUCAAAAACCAUGACUCCAUUGCCAGUUUAACAAAUGUUUAGAUACCAAGAAUGGAUGUCAUGCCUUGCUGCAAAAUCUACUUUAAGCUUUUCAAAAGUCAGACUUGAUGGGGCUCCUGGUUGGCUCAGUCUGUUAAGCAUUGUACUUUGGCUCAGGUCAUGAUCUUAUGGUUCCUGAGUUCGAGGCCCGUAUCAGACUCUGCACUGACAGCACAGAGGCUACUUGGGAUUCUCUCUCUGUUCCUCCCCUGCUCACUCACUCUUUUUCUCUCUUUCUCUCAAAAAAUAAAUAAUAUAAACAUUAAAAAAAAGUCAGACUUGGUAAAGAAGAGGCAGUUGCUUAAGAAAAGAAAGAAAGUGAUAGAAAAGAAUUAACGAGAGAAGAGUGUAGUCGUGAAAGAAAGCAGAGUAGGUAGUGCACCAUGUCGUGAUGCAGGUACACAUAGAUUGCACCUAAAGCAAGCUGGUGAUGCUUUGCCCUCUCCAGAAUUCCCUGGGCGUGCUAUUGGAUUAACGACGUAGGAAACCUGGAGUCGUAGCUACAGUAGAAUCACUGGUCCUCUAACUGCUCAAGGCAAUCUGUGUACAUCCUUGCUUCCUUACUUGUCUUUAUGAACUCAUAUUUUAUUAAUAUAAACAUAUUUAUUUAAUGUUAUUUUGACCCACUACUUCAUUACCAGAACAACAUAUCUUUGUAUAUCAACAUGUUUCACCACAAAAGUAUUUUCUGAACAUUAGUGACCUUUCAAAUUAAGAUUUCUUUUUCUUUCUUUUUUUUUUUAAUUUUAAUGUUUAUUUUUCAGAGAGAGACAGAGACAGGGCACCAGAAGGGGAGGGGCAGAGAGAGAGGGAGACACAGAAUCUGAAGCAGGCUCCAGGCUCUGAGCUGUCAGCACAGAGCCUGAUGUGGGGCUCAAACCCACAAACCGCAAGAUCAUGACCUGUGCCAAAGUCAGACGCUUAACCUACUGAGCCACCCAGGCGCCCCUCAAAUUAAGAUUUCUAAUGUAAUGAUCCAUAAAUAAGUUGGAGACAACUGUUGUUGAUGUUUUGCUACUUUUAUUUUUGAUAUUUUUAGUUGUUAAUGAUCAUUUUCCAGCAGAUAUUGUUCUGAUAAAUCAUAAUUGUUGAAUAGGAUACCAAUAAUGAUAAACCUAAUAUCAUGAACUAUGUUAAGGUUCACACUUCCUGCACCAACAAUCCUAUAGACAAGGUAAUGGUCAUGUUAGUUAACUUAAAAAAAAAAUUACCAAGAAUCAUAUUUUAAAGGAUGUUUGUAAGAGGCACUUGGGUGGCUCAGUCAGUUAAGCAUCCGACUCUUGAUUUCUACUUAGGUCAUGGUGUCAUGGUUCAUGUGAUCAAGCCCUGGGUUGGGCUCUCUCUAAUAGCACAGAGCCUGCAUGGGAUUCUCUCCCUCUCUCUCUGCCUGUCUCUUCUCAAAAUAAAUUAAACUUUAAAUUAAAAAAAUAGAGGUUUUUUUGUAAGAACAGAGAGAAAGCAUCUCAUUUACUUUUGAUUGGGAAGUUAUUUACAGUGGUACUUAGCAUAAGCAUAUAACAUUCAAAAAACUUUUCUCUUUCCUGUCAGAAUUUUCAAUGUUAUAUGCAUUAGUCUAAACUACAUGAGUUUAAAAAGUCCCAAAUUAAUGUACUUUAUUUGGCUUUCCCUACCUUGAUUUCUUUAUAUACUGUUUUUUUUUUAAAAAAGUAAGAAAACAAAGGAGAAGUAGUAGAACAACAGUGAGCCAUAAAUGUAAAUAUUUGAUGGACUACAAAAUAGUAGGCAAUAGGUGUUUUACAGAAAAAGUGUAAAUUCUAAUGGCAAAGAAAAUAUUUAAAUAGCACAGAUUUCGUGAGAUUUUCAAUUGGGUCUUAAAGUAUUUGUAUGAGUACAAUGACAGAUAGUUGGAAGCUGAAAGAAAAUUGGAUAUAAUUUGAAGUGGGGGCACAAAAUACCAGAGGAAUAUUGGAGAAAUAUCAGAGCUGGUCUCAGAUGCUUAUGAGAUAAGCACUUGAGAUAAGUUGAUCCUAAGAGUGCAGACACCAGGUGGAGACAAUAAGGGAAGAUAACCAGGUAAUAAUACCUGGCCUUAGACCUCUCAAGCAUAUUCCUGCUUCUAUCCCCAAAAAACUUUUCAAGUCAACUGGUUAUAUUCUGGAUGUAAGCUACAUUCUUUUAGAAAUGCAUUAGGUCCUCUAAAUGGUCAUUUAGGAUCUCAGAGCAGCAGUUAACACAAGGUAAGCUUUAGUUUGAAGGAAAUAAUAGGCUCCAAGCAAGGCUCAAGGGACAUUUCUUUCAGUGGCCUGCAUACUUGCUGAGCCUGAUGAAAGCCUACCAUCCCAUUCACCCUUGUGGUGUCUGAUUUUAAAUUACUUUAUUUUUACUUAAUUAAAAAAAUCCCUGUCUGAAGAUUUAUGUAAGUAGAAUUACUUUACACUCCUUGUAUCCUAGAAGUAUUUACUCCUGUGGUAUAUCUGAAUGUCAAGCUCAAACCUGUGUUUCCAAGAAAGUGUUCACUAUCUGCAGUGUUGUUUUUCUUUUGUUUUUGUAAUUGUUUAUUUUUCAUUUCAUAGUAGAAAAUACGACCCAGGAUGCAAUAUCAAAUAGCACACUAUACUUUUACUUUCUUAUGUUAAGAAUUUAAAAAAUAAAGAAAAAGCAUAUAUAUGUGCAUUUUUAAUCAAAAAAAUUAUUUGAGAGAGAGAGAGUAUAAGUGGGGAGUAGGUCAGAGGGGGAGAGAGAGAGAGAGAGAGAGAGAGAGAGAGAGAGAGAGAGAGAGAGAGAAUCUCAAGCAGGCUCCACACUAAGAGUGGAGCCCGACACAGGGCUCAAUCCCACAACCCUGGGAUCAUGACUUGAGCUGAAAUCAAGAGUCAGAUGCUCAACCAACUGAGCCACCCAGGUGCCCCUAUAUGUGCAUAUUGGACCCAAGGAGUAUAGUAUAUAAUUUGCCUUGACAUUGUUUAAGAGAAAGACAAAAUUCAUGUUUAGAAGUUUCAACGUAGCUUUUAUAAAGUAGCACCUUCAGAUAAUUUAAUAAAUCAGAUAAGGAGGACUACCUCUACUCCAGGCCUAGUUUAGCAAUUAAAGUGCUCUAAAAGAACAUUCUCAUGUCUCUGUUUUAUGUGUUUUUCAGACUUCUAGCUUCAAUAUUUUCAAUAGCUAAUCCUUUCUAAUCAUAUUUGUGUGGUUAUGGAGUAGGGCAUGGUAGAAAGAAAAUAAGUAAAGGAAAAAUAAGCACAAAAUAGCAACAGGGAUUCCUUUAAAGCAUAUAGUUAUUAACCAAAGACUUUACUGCUAGUGCUUAAUUUCAUGUCACAGAUUAGCAAUAUAGGCUCUGGAGGCUAGAUUAGGGUCUGGGCCUCAUUGUUAACCAAAAAUGAACUUAGGCAGGUCAUACAUACUGAGUUUCCUUAUAUAUAAAGCAGGAACAAAAUAGUAUCUGUCACAAGAAUUAAGUGACAAUUUAAUAUGUGUAAUCAUCCUCAUAUGCUUAUUGUUAAAGAAACAUAAUCUGGAAAACUAAAUAGCAUGCUGAAGUUUAGGAUGGCACCAUUACAGAAUACUGAUGAAUAAGUGCAUUACAUACACAUUUCUGGUAAAUCUCACAAUAUUUUUCUGAUUGUUUUCCAAAAAAAACCCUGGCUUUUAAUAAAACUGUAUUAUGUGACUUUAUUUCACAAAUGCAAAAUGAGAGCUAACAUAAGCCUAUAUUUUCUUUAAAAACAUUUUUAAUGUUUAUGUAUUUUUGAGAGAUAAACAGAGCACAAGCAGUAAGGGGCAGAGAGAGAAGGAGACAAAAAUCUGAAGCAGGCUUCAGACUCUGUGCUCACAGCUCAGAGCCUGACCUGGGGCUCCAACCCACGAACUGUCAGAUCAUGACCUGAGCUGAAGUCAGAGCCACCCAGGUGAACCUAAACCUAUAUUUUCUACACACUAGCAAUCUAUAACAUUCCUGGAAGAAUGCGUAAAAUGUGGCAUUCCUAUUUGUAUCAACAAACUAUAUUCCUCUUAAGAAAAGUGAAAUUUUCAUUGGUGAUAUUUUAAUUCAAUAUGAUAUACAUAGGGGUACAUUAUUUUUUAUUUCUUCUAGCACUUAUAGCCUAUAUGAGGUCAUGCAGCGCAAUCACAAUGACUGUUAGCUCCCAAAUUCUUCAUGUUCAAGCCUCCAUUGGUCAAAUUGCUUCAGCUUUUCUUCUGAUGAUUUCUGGCAUGUCCUACAGCUUAUUUCCUAUGUUUAUAAGAAAAAAAAAGUUCUCCUAUUCUUCUACUCUGGCCUCCCAUUGUCUUGGCCAUCCUGCUCUGUUUGAUGCCCACAUCACACAAGAUGUCAUUGCUGAACACAGUUUUCAUUGAUGAUUGCCACCCUAGACUUGGGACAUUGGGGCAGUUUCUCUAUCACUUUCUCAUGUACUCAGUUGAUACCUUGUUUAAUUUAACUCAAUUAUCUGAAGCUGGUUAUAUUUACUACUUUUUCUAUAAUUUCUGACAGCACAAUUAAGCCUAAAUUGUAACUUUUAAGACUAGUUGGAUGAAUAUUUACAGAUCAUGCAGGGUCAGUGGAAAACAGACAUAAUCCCUGUCCUGCAUCUAGGACUGGGUUUCACAACAGCUCUAAUAUCGAUAUUUUGGACUAGAUAUUCUUUGAAUUGGUGACCGCCCUGUGCAUUGUAGGACAUUUAGCAGCAUCUCUGGCUUAGCUGCUGGUGGCACAGUUCCAAGUCACAGCAAUCAAAAAUGUCUUUAGACAUUGCCAAAUGCCUCCUGCAAAACCCCCAAUUGAGAUCCACUAAUUUGGGGAUAAGAACCAGUUUACUUCUAACCCUUGAAAUAUUCCAAGCCAUCACAUGCCUAAGACUCCAGACUCAAAUUUCCACAAAGGAUGUUGGAGAGGUUUGUCCUCCAUUUCAUGCCACCUCCUGGUAUGUUCUUUGCUUCCCCAGGAAUAGCCUCUUUUCAAAGCAUGGAUCCUUGUGCCCUCCAAGUCCAUCUCUUUUCAAAAUCGAUCCCAGACUCUGAAGAAACUCCCAGAGCUACAGAUUCUUUAUGGCAGUAAUUCGUUCCAUCCAAGUUUCUGGAUAUUCUGAAACAAGUGCUCAAAGGAACAACUCAGUAAACAUGUAAUGAAAGUAUCCAUGUGAAUUGAAUAUUACUAAACAGCAGUUUUCUGUUUCUUUCACAGAAUUCAGUCUGCCAUAGAUAAGUCCAUAGAUUCUUGCUACAGAGAUACUUAAAUAAAAGUUUCACCUUGGAGUUUUUGUUUGUUUGUUUUUUGUUUGUUUCCUGAGAACCAGAGAACUGACAAUAACAAGAAAACCCCAAAUCUUAGCCUUCAAAGGCAGAAGCUUGCACAUUUUUAUAUGGCACUCUUCUACGUUCAUAUUGUCAUAAAUUCUAGCCUCAAAAGGAAUGCUUGGUUACAUAAUGCCAUAUUUUAAAACAUUCUGAGAAAUCUCCUUUUUUUGUUUUGUAUUUCUUUUUUAUU